CUGAAAUCUUCUGAAAACGGUUGUUGGUU
rnacentral:misc_RNA from 1 species